rnacentral:rRNA from 1 species
UACGGAGGGUGCUAGCGUUGUUCGGAAUUAUUGGGCGUAAAGGGAGCGCAGGUGGGUCGGAAAGUCGGAUGUGAAAGCCCUCGGCUUACCCGAGGAAGUGCAUUCGAAACUCUCGACCUUGAGUACUGGAGAGGGUAGCGGAAUUCCCGGUGUAGAGGUGAAAUUCGUAGAUAUCGGGAGGAACACCAGUGGCGAAGGCGGCUACCUGGACAGAUACUGACACUGAGGCUCGAAAGCGUGGGUAGCAAACAGG